rnacentral:rRNA from 1 species
GUAGCGGCUGAAAUAUUCACUCCUCGUCCGGCGGGGGAUAACGUACCGCUAACUUACGCUAAUACCGCAUACGACCUACGGGUGAAAGCAGGGGAUCUUCGGACCUUGCGCGAUUGAAUGAGCCGAUGUCGGAUUAGCUAGUUGGCGGGGUAAAGGCCCACCAAGGCGACGAUCCGUAGCUGGUCUGAUAGGAUGAUCAGCCACACUGGAACUGAGACACGGUCCAGACUCCUACGGGAGGCAGCAGUGGGGAAUAUUGGACAAUGGGCGCAAGCCUGAUCCAGCCAUACCGCGUGGGUGAAGAAGGCCUUCGGGUUGUAAAGCCCUUUUGUUGGGAAAGAAAUCCAGCUGGCUAAUACCCGGUUGGGAUGACGGUACCCAAAGAAUAAAGCACCGGCUAAUUUCGUGCCAGCAGCCGCGGUAAUACGAAGGGUGCAAGCGUUACUCGGAAUUACUCGGGCGUAAAGCGUGCGUAGGUGGUCGUUUAAGUCCGUUGUGAAAGCCCUGGGCUCAACCUGGGAACUGCAGUGGAUACUGGGCGACUAGAAUGUGGUAGAGGGUAGCGGAAUUCCUGGUGUAGCAGUGAAAUGCGUAGAGAUCAGGAGGAACAUCCAUGGCGAAGGCAGCUACCUGGACCAACAUUGACACUGAGGCACGAAAGCGUGGGGAGCAAACAGGAUUUAGAUACCCUGGUAGUCCACGCCCUAAACGAUGCGAACUGGAUGUUGGGUGCAAUUUGGCACGCAGUAUCGAAGCUAACGCGUUUAGUUCGCCGCCUGGGGAGUACGGUCGCAAGACUGAAACUCAAAGGAAUUGACGGGGGCCCGCACAAGCGGUGGAGUAUGUGGUUUAAUUCGAUGCAACGCGAAGAACCUUACCUGGCCUUGACAUGUCGAGAACUUUCCAGAGAUGGAUUGGUGCCUUCGGGAACUCGAACACAGGUGCUGCAUGGCGUCGUCAGCUCGUGUCGUGAGAUGUUGGGUUAAGUCCCGCAACGAGCGCAACCCUUGUCCUUAGUUGCCAGCACGUAAUGGUGGGAACUCUAAGGAGACCGCCGGUGACAAACCGGAGGAAGGUGGGGAUGACGUCAAGUCAUCAUGGCCCUUACGGCCAGGGCUACACACGUACUACAAUGGUAGGGACAGAGGGCUGCAAGCCGGCGACGGUAAGCCAAUCCCAGAAACCCUAUCUCAGUCCGGAUUGGAGUCUGCAACUCGACUCCAUGAAGUGGGAAUCGCUUGUAAUCGCUAGAUCUAGCAAUGAUCGGUGAAUAAGUUUCCUUGUUCUCUUUGUUACCCCCUACG